rnacentral:tRNA from 1 species
AGUGGGUAGCUCAGUGGUAGAGUGUGUGCUUAGAAUGCACGAGGUCCUGAGUUCAAUACCCAGCACCUCUG